UAGAAAGGGUGCGCGCCAGUUUGGCCCUAGAAGCCACGGGGUGCUUGUGUGCUGCUCGUGGUCAGAAGGAGGGCCAGAGAACCACCAGCUCCUGAGACCCAGACCUCCCCUGGCUGGGCCCGCCCAGCCACUCGACUUUCCUCACCCUCCGCUCCCCUGCUUCCUCUCACCUCUGCAGUUUCCCUGCUUCUCAGCCUGGAGCCAGCCACUUUCCCUCAGUUUGCUCCUUAAAACCACGACAGAAGGUGACGUCCCGAAGAGGAAGGCACCUGGCGGCCAGCCGCCUUCGCCACUCCCUGGACGGGUGGGCGGAGCGGUGGAGUCUCGGAGUUGAUGGGAACUGUGGAGGCGCUCCGGUUCAGCCCCCGCCCCAGCCAGUGAGGGAGGCCCUUGUACACGGCUCCCUGAGACCCUGCCUGCCUGCCCCGUGCUCAGAAACACCAGUGAUGAGCCACCUCCUGACAGCCUCUUCUGCUGUUCCUUAGAGGGACGGGCCACUGUCGCUGCCCCCACGCUUCUGUCAGCCCAGUGACUCUGACUUUAUUUCCGCUUUAUGGGAAAGGACCUUGGUGUUGAUCCUUGUUUGGUGAGUGAGUCCUGGGCAUGCUGGCCAGACUUGCCUGCAUGCAGCCUUUGGUGUGCCCCCCCACCUCUGGCUUGGGAAUACCCCCCUGCUCCCCUUAUACCAGGUUUCUCCCCCAACUGAGUCUCAGGAUUCAGAGCCAAGCACCCAG
ensembl:lncRNA